AGCCCGCUAUCGGAGUCGAACCGAUGACCAUCGCAU
rnacentral:tRNA from 3 species